rnacentral:tRNA from 1 species
GCAGGGGUAGCCAAGCAUGGUCAACGGCGCAAGAUUCAGAGUCUUGUCCUGUAGAGGUCCGCGAGUUCAAAUCUCGUCCCCUGCACC